AAGAUGUAGUGUGUAGCUGACUCAACGCUCUCUCCGUCAUACUCCGCAUACUAGGCUGUGUUUGGGACCAGAUUGCAGCAAUCGCAAUGGGCGUCCUCUGCCCUAUCUUCAGUAUUGUGUCCUUGAUUGUGAAUUUCCAUAACUCAAUAAAGAGUAAAUGUACAGGUAAGUUCUUACUAUUUUUAGGAGAAGACAAGUGCGAGUGUUUCAAGUGACAGAGAUAAGAAGUCAUAAGCUCGGAGUCAUCUUUCCCUAUAGUGGUGCUAUAUAUACAUUACUAUGCUAAAAAAAGGUGUACAAUACCAAUCUAAGAUGGUGCUGCCCAAGCCGUAUACGUUCCAUUGAAGCAACACCAACUUCAAACCAAACCACUUUCCGCUGAGUGACUUGAACUUUUGAUUCCCCCAAUGGCCCUUCUACGAGUUGGAUUAUGGCUGCAGUCAGAAGUGGAGAGUCUGAGACGCCUCUCGUCUCCCCAUCAAGACAAAGAAGAGGAGAGGUCCCAAGCAACAGACCCUCUUGCCAUUAGAUGGGAGUUGUGGUUGAGGAUACGGACACCAGAAAAGGAUUGUACUCUUGGAUUUUUGCUAUAGGCUGUCUAUGUGGGUCUAUGUUCUGUAUUUGGUUAUGCCAGAGACGACAAGUAUGGUAUAGGCAAAUUUGUUGGCAUAAGCUCCAUCCAAAAUUUUCAUUAUUGCGAAGCCCUAGCCCUUAUUCCCAAUAGUCUUCUGGGUCGGGGUUAGACAGUUUUUGGGCACAGAUAUAAUGUAUGACAGAAAUCAUAUGAUAAUUGGAUGUGGUAAUUGUAUUUACAGACAUUGAGAUCCAAGAGGACAAGUUAAUGAAUUACUUGGUUCCCCCGGUGAAGUCUGCAGCAUUACUGAGUACCGGCCGCGUCCUCAUUACACAGCGGCUCGUGUAUCUUACCUGUUCCCAGAGAGGAUCAUUAUUUGUGUACACUGAAGGCAUGUAAGACAAUGAGCCCGGGGGGACCGCGGCUUCCCGUCUAUAGCACCAUUACUGUCUGAUAUUUUGCGUGAAUCAAUCAUAAUAAA